GCUGCCCAGGAUACACUGUUGGUGUGUAGUGGACGGGAUGGUGAGGAGGAUGAAUGGGGUGGUAGAAACGGAGCCGCUCAUGCCCACAGGGGAGGGGGCAAUGGCUCUGCCACACGAGGGGCCCAAGUGCCUGCUGUCCCCAUCUCAGAGCCCCCACUUCAGCCCUCGGACAUGGAUGCCGGUUGGUGGCCAAAUACACUUCCUGCAAUUUUUUAUGUAAUAACGAUCCACUUUGUAAUUGAGGGAUUUCCUAAAUUCUGGAUGUCUUUGUGAAGUCACCAGAAAGAACAUUCUAUGACAUGCUGUUUUGGGAGUCUAGAGGACGGGACCGAUGAGCACAGCCUGAGCUUUGGCCAAUCACUGGACUGUCUGGAGAAGAGGCGGAUCCUCCUCACAGAUUCUGGAUUCCUAAGAAUGCCCCAAAAGCUGAUUUCAGAAGUGGACUCGAGAUGACAGAACAAGGUUAAUGUUCUGUUCAAUACUUAUUUCUGUCCCUUCACCACCAAUCCUGCUCUUACUGUAUUCCACUUAACCUUAUGCAAGAAGAGGAAUUCCCAGGUGAAAUUUUAAACAUUCACCCAACAUUGUAUGACUAUCUUAACAAGACAGGACCUAGCUUUUCUCUAUCAAGUUGGGAAGACAGCGCAAGGAAGGAGCGCCCAGUGCUACCCAUUGGGUAACUGUCCUCUGACUUCGGGCUCUCCUGUUCUGAUGGGUCGCCCAGAUCACAGCCACUCAGGUAAACAUGCACACCCAUCAGUCAUGCUGAGAGCAAGUGGGUCUUGGGACAGGAAGUGAGGAGAAGCAAGAUCAGGCAUGGAGGGAAGCUUGGGCUGAGAAAUUUCUCUGGAUCCUCUCACAUCUGCACAAGACCUGUACAGGGGAAGUUCUGGAGGGUGCGAGAAAGAAGACCUUGGCCGAAGAGAUGCACCGAGCACCACACAGGGUGCAAAGCUUGCCACUGGACAGCCAGCUUGCUAUCAGCAUGGGCCAGUCUGUGGGUUUUUCGGGCGGAGAGCCCACUUGCUGUAAUUCUGUGUUGCAAUUCUCCUCCAUCGAUUUGAACCUCUGUGAAAAUCUUAUUAAACUUCAUCGACUGAACUUAGAUUUGAUAGAGGUAUGCGGCUUGUGGCUGG